rnacentral:ribozyme from 1 species
AAAAAAGGAUGAAUGAAAAAUCAGGAAAUAAACACAAAAGAGCGUGAAUUUUGUGAGACAUUUUUAUGGUUGUGUCUCUUUGUUUUUUUCGUUUC